AGUGAACGCUGGCGGUGGGCCUAACACAUGCAAGUCGAACGGCAGCACAGUAAGAGCUUGCUCUUACGGGUGGCGAGUGGCGGACGGGUGAGGAAUACAUCGGAAUCUGCUUUUUCGUGGGGGAUAACGUAGGGAAACUUACGCUAAUACCGCAUACGACCUACGGGUGAAAGCAGGGGAUCUUCGGACCUUGCGCGAUUGAAUGAGCCGAUGUCGGAUUAGCUAGUUGGCGGGGUAAAGGCCCACCAAGGCGACGAUCCGUAGCUGGUCUGAGAGGAUGAUCAGCCACACUGGAACUGAGACACGGUCCAGACUCCUACGGGAGGCAGCAGUGGGGAAUAUUGGACAAUGGGCGCAAGCCUGAUCCAGCCAUACCGCGUGGGUGAAGAAGGCCUUCGGGUUGUAAAGCCCUUUUGUUGGGAAAGAAAAGCAGCAGGUUAAUACCCCGCUGUUCUGACGGUACCCAAAGAAUAAGCACCGGCUAACUUCGUG
rnacentral:rRNA from 1 species